rnacentral:rRNA from 1 species
GCUUGUCUCAAAGAUUAAGCCAUGCAUGUCUAAGUAUAAGCAACAUACAGUGAAACUGCGAAUGGCUCAUUAUAUCAGUUAUAGUUUAUUUGAUAGUCCCUACUACUUGGAUAACCGUAGUAAUUCUAGAGCUAAUACAUGCCCUCAAGCGGCGCUCACGCGCCGCGUAUUUAUUAGAUUAAAACCGCCCCUUCCGGGUCCUGGUGAAUCAUAAUAACUGAUCGAACCGCAUGCUUCGGCGGCGGUGGUUCAUUCAAGUUUCUGCCCUAUCAGCUUUCGAUGGUAGGGUAUUGGCCUACCAUGGCGUUAACGGGUAACGGAGAAUUAGGGUUCGAUUCCGGAGAGGGAGCCUGAGAGAUGGCUACCACAUCCAAGGAAGGCAGCAGG